UCCGUAGGUGAACCUGCGGAAGGAUCAUUAUUGAAUUUAAUGAGGGGAUAUCUGGUUGUAGCUGGCUCAUGAAUUUGGGCAUGUGCACACCUAUCUCUUUCAUCCACACACACCUGUGCACUUGUGAGGCAGAUGGGGAAUUUAUUGAUUGUUUUUUAAGAACAAUUGGUGCUGGACCCUCUGUCUACUCAAUACAUAAACCCAAUUUAUUUAGAAAUGAAUGUAAUGGAUGUAACGCAUCUAAUACUAAGUUUCAACAACGGAUCUCUUGGCUCUCGCAUCGAUGAAGAACGCAGCGAAAUGCGAUAAGUAAUGUGAAUUGUAGAAUUCAGUGAAUCAUCGAAUCUUUGAACGCACCUUGCGCUCCUUGGUAUUCCUUGGAGCAUGCCUGUUUGAGUAUCAUGAAAUCUUCAAAGUAAAUCUUUUGUUAACUCAAUUGGUUCCACUUUGGUAUUGGAGGUCUUUGCAGCUUCACACCUGCUCCUCUUCGUUCAUUAGCUGGAUCUCAGUGUUAUGCUUGGUUCCACUCAGCGUGAUAAGUUAUCUAUCGCUGAGGACACUGUAACAGGUGGCCAAGGGAAAUGCAGAUGAACCGCUUCUAAUAGUCCAUUGACUUGGACACUAUUUUUAUGAUCUGAUCUCAAAUCAGGUAGGACUACCCGCUGAACUUAAGCAUAUCAAUAAGCGGAGGA
rnacentral:rRNA from 1 species